rnacentral:ncRNA from 1 species
CGGUCCUUGCCACAGGUGAUGAAAAGGGAAGCAGGUGGGAAUCCUGCACUGUCCCGCAGCUGUAUGCUGCCGUUAUGUCGGCGAACAAAAUGCCACUGGUCAUCCCGGGAAGGCGUUCGCCCUCUGAAGCAGUAAGUCAGAAGACCUGCCGUGGUGAU